rnacentral:lncRNA from 1 species
UUUUGACCACGAGCCCUAUAAAUCCACUCCUUUUGACCAGAGCCUAUAAAUCCACUACUUUUGACCAGGAGCUCUAUAAAUCCACUCCUUUUGACCAGAGCCCCUAAAUCCACUACUUUUGACCAGAGCUCUAUAAAUCCACUCCUUUUGACCAGAGCCCUAAAAUCCACUCCUUUUGACCAAGAGCCCUAUAAAUCCACUCCUUUUGACCCAGAGCCUUUAUAAAUCCACUACUUUUGACCACGAAGCUCUAUAAUCCACUCCUGUUGACCCAGCGCCUAGGGGCCUAUAAAUCCACUACUUUUGACCAGAGCCCUAUGGGACCCUUAAAUCCACUCUUUUUGACCAGAGCCCUAUUAAAUCACUCCUUUUGACCAGAGCCUUAUAAAUCCACUACUUUUGACCAGAGCUCUAUAAAUCCACUCCUGUUGACCAGAGCCCUAUGGGAGCCCUAUAAAUCCACUACUUUUGACCAGAGCCCUAUAAAUCCACUCCUUUUGACCAGAGCCCUAUGGGAGCCCUAUAAAUCAACUCCUAUUGACCAGAGCCCUAGGGGAGCCCAGGUUGUUGGGUCAAUUCUGAACUCAAGAUCAGUUGAUUCAUACAAUUAAUAGAAUGAUCCAACUAAAGGUAUUGGAAAAAUCCACACAUAGACAUUAAUGAACCAAUUAAACUCUUGAAUUCAAAUUUUAUUUUCUAACUGACUGCCUCAACAUCCUGUGCUCAUAGGAAUGAGACAGCAUUAUCAUCAAGUUUAGAUUGUCCCUGAGUGGCCUCCAAUUUCUAGUGGAAACUGUUGUACUGUCAGUAACAUUCUGAUAUUACUGCAGUACACUUCUGAUAUGUACUGCAGUAACAUUCUGAUAUGUACUGCCUAAUUUGUAUGUACUGCAGUACCAUUCUGAUGUACUGCAGUAACAUUCUGAUAUGUACUGAGUACAUCUGAUAUGUACUGCAGUAACAUUCUGAUAUGUACUGCCGUAACAUUUUCUGUUGUUAUGCAGUAACAUUCUGAUAUG